GUGCUUGCUUCAGCAGCACAUCUACUGAAAAUGGAAUAAUUCAGAGAUUAGCAUGGCCCCUGUGCAAGGAUGACAUGCAAAUUUGCAGAAUGUUUCAUUUUUAA
ensembl:snRNA U6 U6 spliceosomal RNA